rnacentral:ncRNA from 1 species
UUUGUACUGUGAAACUGCGAAUGGCUCAUUAAAUCAGUUAUAGUUUAUUUGAUGAUAUCUUGCUACAUGGAUAACUGUGGUAAUUCUAGAGCUAAUACAUGCAAUCAAGCCCCGACUUCC